AGAUCCUCUAGGCAAGAGGUGUGGAUUCAGGUCCUACUAGUCUUACUCCUGAUGAAGCUGGGCAAAUCAGUUGGCUCUGGAGUAAUUAGUAGCCCCUUCCUCACUGACCAUUGCAAGCUUUAUUUCCAAUAUAUGGGUCCCAUCCCAUUGUAACACUAAUUGAGAACUUCCCAUCUGGAGGAAAGCAGAGAAUGAAUGACAUGUAACAUUGGACCCUAAACAGAACCAAUGACAAAGCUGUGAGCUCACAAGCACACUUCUGGAGAACCUGGCUACCAGAGAAGUGUUAUUUCCAAGCUGUAAAAUCACUCAGCAGUCCCUGCAACUGAUGCAACCUUUCCUUUAAGAGAAUAGGACAUCAUGUUCAUAAAGAAACUUGGAUCUCGAACAUACCUAAAAAGCAGCUUAAAGUCCUUGGAGCAAACGGUACAGCUGAGAAAUGUUACACCAGUUGGGUGUCAAUCCAUAAAACCCGUUCUAGAGAAAAUCGUGGAGAUGUUUAAAGACAUGAAGCCAAAGACAAAUUUUUCAACCAGAACCCUCAAGAAAUGUCACUUCUGUGUCUUGCCAAGAGAGAUCCAGCAUUUUUUCUACAUAAACAUCUGCUGGAAACAUUUUAAAGGGAGGCAUUUUAAAUAAUGACGUUUAUAGCUUCUUGUUCUUUAAUAAGUCUGAAAAAGAAGAAAAAUGAAUUUGUGAUACAUUCCUUCCCAAAGCAACUUUUCUUCACUGAUAUGCAUCAUAUUAGAUGAUCUAAAAGUGAAAAUAUUAACAUUAUGUUGGGGGGAAAUGGUUAAGAACAUUUCUCUGAACUGUCUGUAUCAAUCAUACCUGAGAGUCAGUCAUAAAUCACAGGUUCCUUAAACUCCAGAAA